AUUGAACGCUGGCGGCAGGCCUAACACAUGCAAGUCGAGCGCGCGGCGGACGGGUGAGUAAUGUAUGGGGACUGCCCGAUAGAGGGGGAUAACUACUGGAAACGGUAGCUACUACCGCAGACUAUCCGAUACACCAUAUGGGAGUAGCUAGUAGGUGAGGUAAUGGCUCACCUAGACGACGAGCCCUAGCUGGUCUGAGAGGAGUAUCAGCCAGACGGGGACUGAGAAAGGGCCCCGACUCCGACGGAGGAAGCAGUGGGAAAUAUUGCCCAAUGGGGGAAAGCCUGAUGCAGCACAGACGCGUGUAUGAAGAAGGCCCUAGGGUUGGAAAGUACUUUCAGUCGGGAGGCGUUACCUACAGAAGAAGCCCCGGCUAACUCCGUGCCAGCAGCCGCGGUAAUUC
rnacentral:rRNA from 1 species